CGGACUCCUACGGGAGCCGGACUUUGUCCUCGACUGCAACGGCUGCAGACAGACUUCGUCCGGACUCCUACGGGAGCCGGACUCCACCGACAACUUCAACCGCAAGUAGACUCCGCCCGGACUCCUACGGGAGCCGGACUUCGCACCUGAUUUUGAUUGCAGAGGACUCCGCCCGGACUCCUACGGGAGCCGGGCUCCGCCUGCGACUUCAACUCCGAGAGGACUCCGCCCGGACUCCCACGGGAGCCGGGCUCCGCCCACGACUCCAACCGCAAGGAGGACUCCGCCCGGAC
rnacentral:lncRNA from 1 species